CCUACGGGUGGCAGCAGUGGGGAAUAUUGCACAAUGGGGGAAACCCUGAUGCAGCGACGCCGCGUGAGUGAAGAAGUAAUUCGUUACGUAAAGCUCUAUCAGCAGGGACGAAACUGACGGUACCUGCGUACGAAGCCGCGACUAACUACGUGCCAGCAGCCGCGGUAAUACGUAGGGGGCAAGCGUUAUCCGGAUUUAUUGGGUGUAGAGGGAGCGUAGUCGGUGCGCCAAGUCUGGAGUGAAAUGCCGCAGCUUAACUGCGGGACUGCUUUUGAAACUGUCGAACUAGAGUGCGGGAGGGGUAGGCGGAAUUCCUAGUGUAGCGGUGAAAUGCGUAGAUAUUAGGAGGAACACCAGUGGCGAAGGCGGCUUACUGGACCGUAACUGACGUUGAGGCGCGAAAGCGUGGGGAGCAAACAGGAUUAGAUACCCGAGUAGUC
rnacentral:rRNA from 1 species